rnacentral:sRNA from 1 species
UAUCUUUGACAAAGGAGGCAAGAGGGGAAAAUUCAAUACUCUCACCACCUCGCUGGGUGACUUGAGCCCUAAGGUCCUGCUUCUUUGUCAGUUUGGGAAUUUUCAAAAGCCAUUCCUUUCUACACACCUUGUCAUCACAGAUCCAACAUUCCGUCUCCACAUAGUCAAAAACCAACCCUCCCAGGUUGGCUUUCUAACCUCAUGUUUCAUCUUCCAGGCCCUAUGCACACUACUUGACCUGCAUUGCAGUUUGGGGGAUGCAGGACCACACAACACAUUCUCUAUUUGAUUCUCACUCUAGACAAACUAAAUGUCAUCAUCUUCUUC